rnacentral:rRNA from 1 species
CCUACGGGAGGCAGCAGUGGGGAAUAUUGGACAAUGGGGGCAACCCUGAUCCAGCCAUGCCGCGUGUGUGAAGAAGGCCCUCGGGUUGUAAAGCACUUUCAGUGAGGAAGAACGCCUGGUGGUUAAUACCCAUCAGGAAAGACAUCACUCACAGAAGAAGCACCGGCUAACUCCGUGCCAGCAGCCGCGGUAAUACGGAGGGUGCGAGCGUGAAUCGGAAUUACUGGGCGUAAAGCGCGCGUAGGUGGCUUGAUAAGCCGGUUGUGAAAGCCCCGGGCUCAACCUGGGAACGGCAUCCGGAACUGUCAAGCUAGAGUGCAGGAGAGGAAGGUAGAAUUCCCGGUGUAGCGGUGAAAUGCGUAGAGAUCGGGAGGAAUACCAGUGGCGAAGGCGGCCUUCUGGACUGACACUGACACUGAGGUGCGAAAGCGUGGGUAGCAAACAGGAUUAGAUACCCGAGUAGUC